UGUGUAGGCGGUGCUCUAAGUUUGGUGUGAAAUCUCCCGGCUUAACUGGGAGGGUGCAUCGAAAACUGGAAUGCUAGAGGGUGGGAGAGAUAAGCGGAAUUCCUGGUGUAGCGGUGAAAUGCGUAGAUAUCAGGAGGAACACCUGUGGUGUAGACAGCUUACUGGACCACUUCUGACGCUGAGACACGAAAGCGUGGUAGCAAACA
rnacentral:rRNA from 1 species